UCUCUCUCUCUCUCUCUCUCUCUCUCUGUGUGUGUGUGUGUGUGUGAGAGAGAGAGAGAGAGAGAGAGAGAGA